GUGCCUGUGUGAGCAGAGCUGCUGGCUUCAUUUGCUGUGUUGGUGAUUUCCCUGGGCUUUUCUUGCACGGGGGCUAGAGAUGGUUCCCUUUGCUUUUCCCAUUGUAAAUAAAGAACAGAGGCACUUCAAAAGCUGGCGCUGCUCUGCCCGCUGCUCCCUCAGUGGAGCUCUCCUUGCACAGCAGGGGAUGUGUCCCCUGAUGGGUGACAGAGGUAUUUGAAAUGGAUGGGGCUGCGUUGGAGGUACCUGCCAGCAGGGCUACCUGGGAGACGCUCCUAUCUGUCAUCUGAUUUAUCCAGGUUAAAAGGCUGCAAUCAGUCACCAAGGUAGAUUCAUUCCCCAGUAAAUAGUGCCCGAGGGCUUCCAGGACCUAUUUUACUGCUAAGCACUCUCUUUCCAAUGCUUGAAUACCUCUGUUCCCAGUGGAGCCGUUGCUGGCUGAUAUAUAUAUGAUAUGGGGAGUCCUAGCGACUUUUUUAUUUUUGCUCUGCACAGCUCCUGGCCUCGUCUCGGCUGCGUUGGGCUGCACGAUGGAUGGAGUGUUUGAGCUUUCCAUGUCUGGGGGCAAACUGAGGCGAGAUGGCAUCGGGGGACCUGAGUGCUGCAGGAUGGUGCUGGGACAGCGAGCAAGGAGAGGUGCAGAAUGGAAUAGAUGAACCAGGCAGCUCACCACUAGCAUUGCCUGCAACCUCCACGCGUUGUGCACCUCAGCAUCUCAACCCUUGGAGGGUAUUGCACUGACGCUCCCUGUGAAUGGAUCACUGCUGGGAGGCACCAGAAGGAAAAAGGCAGUGAUGCUGAGCCCAUGAUGAUGCUCUCGCCUUCGCCAAGGACCAGAUGACCUCACCAACAGUGCUGUCCCAAGGACAGGCUGCCAGAAGAUGCUGCAGGCACUGGAGGAUGCAUCCUUGGGGGAGCAGGAGCCCUCCAGGUCCAUGCUCAGGGAUCCAGGUUGGCACCCUCUGGUGGGGGCCAGGAGACCCUGGUACCAUAAAAAUGUGCAGUUUUUCACCUGGCUCCUGUGUAAUUAUCUGCUGUCUAUUGCUGGGAAGGACUGGGCUCUCAUCCUCCUCUGCCCUGGAAGGCAGUGCCCAUUUACCCUCACAGUAGCUCUGCUAUUUGUUUAGAGGCAAGGAGAGUUACUUUGACUCUGCAACCAAGAACUGUUUCAUUGGUAUGUCCUGAUUAUUGUUCUUCUGCCACUAUAGCAAAUAAAACAGUUCACUGUGCUA